rnacentral:SRP_RNA from 3 species
GGGUAAGUCUUGUACGACCAGCUCCCUUCUAAUCCCCCAGGACAGGAAUGUAGCAAGGGCCGAAGGUUGUAGCGGUGCGAUAUGAGUAGCUUACCCCUC